CACAGACCUCUCACAUUUAAAACAUUCGAAACUGAACUUGUCAUACACACUUCAACCUCCAUCGCUAAGCACUCCUCCUCUCAUGUGCCUUAUAUUGGUUUUUGGUACCAUCUUCCAUCACUUCUGAACUGAGAUCUGAGAAUGGUGUGGAAAUCUCUCUCUCAAUCCAUCACUCUCUGUUGUGCAACAGACCAACACUUGAUGCUACAUUGAUAGGGGGAACUAGGAAGCAGAAUUGAAGCGAAUGCAUUGGAGAGAAGCUACAUAGGAGAAAUAACAGAGAAUAAUACAGGAGUUAUCAAAUCGCUCAGCAGCAGCAUAUUUCAGUAAGCACCAGCAAAAACAUAUUUCCCGAAGGUAGCACAAAGCAACAAAAUUUCCUUCUGAUAUUCUUCCUGGAACCAUCUUGCCCAACCUUCCAUUCUACCUGGGAUCAUAAGAUCAAUGGGCAUAUUUUAAAUGUUUCCG